rnacentral:rRNA from 1 species
CCCUUAGAUGUUCUGGGCCGCACGCGCGCUACACUGACGAAGUCAGCGAGCAUGUCCUACGCCGACAGGUGCGGGGAAUCUUGUCAAACUUCGUCGUGAUGGGGAUUGAUUUUUGAAAUUCUUGAUCAUAAACGAGGAAUUCCUAGUAAGCGCAAGUCAGCAGCUUGCGCUGAUUACGUCCCUGCCCUUUGUACACACCGCCCGUCGCUACUACCGAUUGAAUGGUUUAGUGAGAUCUUCGGAUUGGCGCCACUGCAGCUCAGCAAUGGGCUUGGUGGAUGCCGAAAAGUUGAUCAAACUUGAUCAUUUAGAGGAAGUAAAAGUCGUAACA